rnacentral:snoRNA from 1 species
AACCCAUGGUGUGGGCAUUGGUUGGUGUAGCUCCUGAAUCUCUCAUAUGCUUCACCAAAACUCUCAUUGCUGUGUUGAGUGAAGCAUAGAGAUUUGGUUUCUCAGUUU